rnacentral:snoRNA from 1 species
AGUUUCCUCUUUAAAAUUCCUUAAUCAGGCCUCCUGACUGUACAGAAAGAGGAGGCAAAAUAAACCUACCCCGUAAAUACCUCAGCCCAGGCCCUGUGCUUGGUCUGUAUUGUGAAUGGGGAGACAUGG